AGUGAACGCUGGCGGUAGGCCUAACACAUGCAAGUCGAACGGCAGCACAGUAAGAGCUUGCUCUUACGGGUGGCGAGUGGCGGACGAGUGAGGAAUACAUCGGAAUCUACUUUUUCGUGGGGGAUAACGUAGGGAAACUUACGCUAAUACCGCAUACGACCUACGGGUGAAAGCAGGGGAUCUUCGGACCUUGCGCGAUUGAAUGAGCCGAUGUCGGAUUAGCUAGUUGGCGGGGUAAAGGCCCACCAAGGCGACGAUCCGUAGCUGGUCUGAGAGGAUGAUCAGCCACACUGGAACUGAGACACGGUCCAGACUCCUACGGGAGGCAGCAGUGGGGAAUAUUGGACAAUGGGCGCAAGCCUGAUCCAGCCACACCGCGUGGGUGAAGAAGGCCUUCGGGUUGUAAAGCCCUUUUGUUGGGAAAGAAAAGCAGCAGGUUAAUACCCCGCUGUUCUGACGGUACCCAGAGAAUAAGCACCGGCUAACUUCGUG
rnacentral:rRNA from 1 species